UCGAGGAUCUUCGGCAAUGGGCGCAAGCCUGACCGAGCGACGCCGCGUGCGGGAUGAAGGCCUUCGGGUUGUAAACCGCUGUCAGAGGGGAUGAAAUGUAUGAGGGUACUCUCUCAUACUUGACAUAGCCUCAAAGGAAGUACGGGCUAAGUUCGUGCCAGCAGCCGCGGUAAGACGAACCGUACAAACGUUAUUCGGAAUUACUGGGCUUAAAGGGUGCGUAGGCGGCGGUGCAAGUUGGGUGUGAAAUCCCUCGGCUCAACCGAGGAACUGCGCUCAAAACUGCAUUGCUUGAGGGAGAUAGAGGUGAGUGGAACUUAGGGUGGAGCGGUGAAAUGCGUUGAUAUCCUAAGGAACACCAGUGGCGAAAGCGACUCACUGGGUCUCUUCUGACGCUGAGGCACGAAAGCUAGGGUAGCGAACGG
rnacentral:rRNA from 1 species